rnacentral:rRNA from 1 species
UCCGUAGGUGAACCUGCGGAGGGAUCAUUACACAAAUAUGAAGGCGGGCUGGAACCUCUCGGGGUUACAGCCUUGCUGAAUUAUUCACCCUUGUCUUUUGCGUACUUCUUGUUUCCUUGGUGGGUUCGCCCACCACUAGGACAAACAUAAACCUUUUGUAAUUGCAAUCAGCGUCAGUAACAAAUUAAUAAUUACAACUUUCAACAACGGAUCUCUUGGUUCUGGCAUCGAUGAGGAACGCAGCGAAAUGCGAUAAGUAGUGUGAAUUGCAGAAUUCAGUGAAUCAUCGAAUCUUUGAACGCACAUUGCGCCCUUUGGUAUUCCAAAGGGCAUGCCUGUUCGAGCGUCAUUUGUACCCUCAAGCUUUGCUUGGUGUUGGGCGUCUUGUCUCUAGCUUUGCUGGAGACUCGCCUUAAAGUAAUUGGCAGCCGGCCUACUGGUUUCGGAGCGCAGCACAAGUCGCACUCUCUAUCAGCAAAGGUCUAGCAUCCAUUAAGCCUUUUUUUCAACUUUUGACCUCGGAUCAGGUAGGGAUACCCGCUGAACUUAAGC